rnacentral:rRNA from 1 species
UACGUAGGGUGCGAGCGUUGCCCGGAUUUAUUGGGCGUAAAGGGCGCGUAGGCGGUCACGCACGUCCGUUGUGAAAUCGCUCGGCUCAACUGGGCGGGGUCAGCGGAUACGGCGUGGCUGGAGCAAGCUAGGGGGCAAUGGAAUUCCCGGUGUAGUGGUGGAAUGCGUAGAUAUCGGGAGGAACACCAGUGGCGAAGGCGGUUGCCUGGAGCUUUGCUGACGCUGAUGCGCGAAAGCGUGGGGAGCGAUCCG